CCCCGCUACAGAGGAUGUGUUUUUGCAAGACAGCCAAAGAAGAAACAGGAAGUAAGUCAGCAGAAGCCAAUUAUUAUAAAACUGCUCUUUCUGAAGAAUGCCAAAACCACCCAUAACACAAUUCUGAGCCAGGAUCUGUUCAUCUAGACAAGGUGGACAGUAGCACCCACCUCCUGGUACUAAAGAUCAAGACAAGGCAUUUAAAGAUGUCUGCACAGUUUCUGAGACACAUGCCUCGCUUCAGGACAUGGAAGGGCUCCAGAUGCUCAGUUUACCAUUUGGCCCUCAUGUUGACUGGCUGGACUUCUGGAAGCUAUCUUGCAAAUGUAAAUCAUUACUUAUAGGGCUGUUCCCUUGGUACACAGGGAUUGUGGGAAGAAAAAUCUGUCUGCAGCCUUGGUCUGCUGUGUUGCCAAGAAAAAUUGCCCUGCAUCUGUUAUAAAUAUAGAAAUAAACAGAACAUCAAAGCUU